AGGACGAACGCUGGCGGCGUGCUUAACACAUGCAAGUCGAACGAGAGGACAAGAGAAGCUUGCUUCUUUGGAAUCGAGUGGCAAACGGGUGAGUAACACGUAAACAACCUGCCUUCAGGAUGGGGACAACAGACGGAAACGACUGCUAAUACCGAAUACGCUUGGGAGACCGCAUGAUCUACCAAGGAAAGGGUGGCCUCUACCUGUAAGCUAUCGCCUGAAGAGGGGUUUGCGUCUGAUUAGGCAGUUGGUGAGGUAACGGCUCACCAAGUCGACGAUCGGUAGCCGGACUGAGAGGUUGAACGGCCACAUUGGGACUGAGACACGGCCCAGACUCCUACGGGAGGCAGCAGUGGGGAAUAUUGCACAAUGGGCGAAAGCCUGAUGCAGCAACGCCGCGUGAGGGAAGACGGUUUUCGGAUUGUAAACCUCUGUUUUCGGUGACGAACAAAUGACGGUAACCGAGUAGGAAGCCACGGCUAACUACGUG
rnacentral:rRNA from 1 species